GAUGAACGCUGGCGGCGUGCCUAACACAUGCAAGUGGAGCGACGAACCCGGACUUGUCCGGGGGCAAAGCCGCGAACGGGUGAGUAACACGUGGAUUAUCUGCCCCAAUGACGGGGACAACCCGAGGAAACUCGAGCUAAUACCGGAUGUGGUCUUCGGAGGAAAGGAAGCUUCGGCCUCGGCAUUGGGAUGAGUCCGCGGCGCAUUAGCUAGUUGGUGGGGUAAUGGCCUACCAAGGCGACGAUGCGUAGCUGGUCUGAGAGGACGAUCAGCCACACUGGAACUGAGACACGGUCCAGACUCCUACGGGAGGCAGCAGUGGGGAAUCUUGCGCAAUGCACGAAAGUGUGACGCAGCAACGCCGCGUGCGGGAAGAAGGUCUUCGGAUCGUAAACCGCUUUCAGUUGGGACGAGGGUCAGCUGGUGAAUAGCCAGUCUGACUGACGGUACCUUCAGAAGAAGCCCGGCUAACUACGUGCCAGCAGCCGCCGUAAAAC
rnacentral:rRNA from 1 species